UACGUAGGGUGCGAGCGUUAAUCGGAAUUACUGGGCGUAAAGCGUGCGCAGGCGGUUCGUUAAGUUCGUUGUGAAAGCCCCGGGCUCAACCUGGGAACUGCAAUGGAAACUGGCGGGCUUGAAUGCGGCAGAGGGGGGUGGAAUUCCGCGUGUAGCAGUGAAAUGCGUAGAGAUGCGGAGGAACACCGAUGGCGAAGGCAGCCUCCUGGGUCAAGACUGACGCUCAUGCACGAAAGCGUGGGGAGCAAACAGG
rnacentral:rRNA from 1 species